GGCAAGCUGAAGCAGGAGGCUAUCGAGUUUGAGGUCAUCAUCCAAAGCCACAAAGUGAGUUCUAGAGGAGCCUUGGGCUACACGGGGAGACCCUGCCUCAAACAAAGAAACCCCCGCACAUUAGCAGUGGGCAUGGCGAUUUCUUGAACUCUCUGACAGGUUCGACAACACCCAGGUGGGUAGGUAACAUUCAGACCACAUCACCAUGGUACCCAUGUAGGAUGAGAACAGCAAAUCCACACAGAACACAUCUACUGACAUGUGGAGCUUUUGUCAGGAUGGGAAAUUAUUUUGAGCAGCAAAGCAGUGACUGUAGGAGGAGAGGAAAAAAAUCCUCUAUGUGUUUAUUACAAUGCAGUCGAAGAAGAGUGCCCAAAUAAAGGAACUAUAAUAAAAUCAGUCCUGGCUUGCUGAACACAAAUAAGGGAAAGAUAUGGAACCCAGCUCCAUCCUCUCCAGAGUCCAUUUCUAUUAGGAUAUGACAAGAUUCAGUGACUGGGAAAGAUACAGAAGGGCUUCACCUUGACCCCAGAUGGCCACUUUAAAUCUCGGGUUCAAUGACAGGGUCUCAGCUAGCAGACACAGUUUGAAUCAAAUCCCUAACAAAGAGAGGAGGCUUGGAGCCUGCUUAUUUGCAGAAGCUGCUGGAAACCCUUUUGAUUUUGGGGAGCCACAGAGGGUGCUGGAGCAUCUGCAGUCCGCAGGCACAGGCGGGCGGGCGGCGAUUCCCCAGGCAAGCUGAUUUGGUUUUGCCAGUAAUGUGAGCUCAUUUGCAAUUUUCUUCUCCUUUUAUCAGGCUUGAAAUCAGGUGUUGAAAUUCUGUAAAGGGUGUGUGGAGGCAUGCUAAGCCAGAGGGUGUGUGCUCUCUUGUCUCCACUCUGGGGGACGGCCGGCUGGCCGUGCAUCAUUUUUUACAGCUGUAUUUGCACAGUUGGGGAAGUAACAGUGUCAUCUUGGAACGGCAGACACAAUGAUAUACGUGUUUGGGGGCAUCUAUAGAGCACAGUGAAUCAUGCAGUCUGCGAGUCAGCCGCUCUAUAAGUCAAUCCACGGUGCCCACCGAAAGCUCCAUAGGAGCUGUGUUCAGAGGAGGCUUCCGUAUCAAAUCCCUCUGCUGCUAUGCAGAGGCACGGGUAGCCAACGGAAAUCUUCGAGAUUGAAUUUUUGAAAGCAUUUUGUCUGCAGUGUGACAUAUUUGGAGGAAAGGGGCUGUGUUAAAUUGUGAAAGCUCCUCACUUGUGGGGAAUCGGAAGAAAAGCCCGUAAUUAUCACACUCUGUACUCCCCAUGUACCUGUGAAUUGGGAAUUCUGGACUUUCAGAGGGGCUAAUGGAAUGUCUACCCAUGAACGCAGAUCCUGCCUGGGCCUAUUAUUGGAGAAACAGAAACAGAAGAUGCUGGAAGCAGAUGACAGCAAACAAAACCCACGGGCACCUAGGAGAGCACGGUCACCUGCCUGCUCCAGCUGGGAUAAAGAGCGCUACCUCAGAGGAGUAAUAAACUUGACCUCCCUUCAUCUACUGUCUUUGAGGCCGUGUUGGUUAAAGAACAAGCCUGUGGCAUGUUGGGUUCGGGGACUCGGUUUAAAGCCCUUGGGUAUUUUACCCGUGUCCUUGAGGAUCCUGUUCACACCCUCUGAGACUUCAUACUUUCAUCUGUGAAAUGACUUUGGUAAUGACUUCAAUUCAGAGGGUUAUGAGAACGUUUGUGGUCCCCAUGGGGCCCAAGCUGUGGGAGGGUCAGAGCAGUUAACGGUGGUAAUUCCAGGAUGCCUGCCUGAGACCGACCCACUCCCGGAAUAUGUCAAGAUGAGGGAUACGUGGCGAAGGGUAGGCAGAUUAGGUUCAGCAGCAGAAGAGAGAAGGAAGGAAUAAUUCACUAAGCCUGUCUUAAAUUGAUAAGAGAAAAAGGAAUUUGGGGAUGGAAAAGAAUGUGCUACAGUCCUUUAGGUCUACCGCUGGGACCACAUACCACAGCCUCUCCAGGCUUGUCUUGGAAUGCUAUAUUCCAAGCAGCUUGUUUACGUGUGUCUGAAAAUGCUUUUGGAUUUGAGAAAAAUAUAUACGGGAACAGGAAUGACCUCAGAACCUGCUCCUUUGCAAACAGACCUCCAGUCUCCCUGCUUAGUGCACAUGUAUUUUCCAUCUUUCUCAACCUGCAGCCCCUCACCCCAGACACAGUGUCAUCAUCCCCCCCCC